GAUGAACGCUAGCUACAGGCUUAACACAUGCAAGUCGAGGGGUAGCAGGGUAGCAAUACCGCUGACGACCGGCGCACGGGUGAGUAACACGUAUCCAACCUUCCCAUAACUCUGGGAUAGCCUUUCGAAAGAAAGAUUAAUACCGGAUGGUACUUUUUCAAGGCAUCUUGAUAAAGUUAAAGAUUUAUUGGUUAUGGAUGGGGAUGCGUUCCAUUAGAUAGUUGGUGAGGUAACGGCUCACCAAGUCUUCGAUGGAUAGGGGUUCUGAGAGGACGGUCCCCCACAUUGGUACUGAGACACGGACCAAACUCCUACGGGAGGCAGCAGUGAGGAAUAUUGGUCAAUGGGCGAGAGCCUGAACCAGCCAAGUAGCGUGAAGGAUGAAGGUCCUAUGGAUUGUAAACUUCUUUUAUAGUAGAAUAAAGUGAUCCACGUGUGGAUUUUUGUAUGUAUACUAUGAAUAAGGAUCGGCUAACUCCGUGCCAGCAGCCGCGGUAAAAGUACUCU
rnacentral:rRNA from 1 species